CUCACCGCAGCGUGCAGCGGACGGGUGAGUACACGUGGGUAACCUGCCUGUAAGACUGGGAUAACUCCGGGAAACCGGGGCUAAUACCGGAUGCUUGUUUGAACCGCAUGGUUCAGACAUAAAAGGUGGCUUCGGCUACCACUUACAGAUGGACCCGCGGCGCAUUAGCUAGUUGGUGAGGUAACGGCUCACCAAGGCAACGAUGCGUAGCCGACCUGAGAGGGUGAUCGGCCACACUGGGACUGAGACACGGCCCAGACUCCUACGGGAGGCAGCAGUAGGGAAUCUUCCGCAAUGGACGAAAGUCUGACGGAGCAACGCCGCGUGAGUGAUGAAGGUUUUCGGAUCGUAAAGCUCUGUUGUUAGGGAAGAACAAGUGCCGUUCAAAUAGGGCGGCACCUUGACGGUACCUAACCAGAAAGCCACGGCUAACUACGUGCCAGCAGCCGCGGUAAUACGUAGGUGGCAAGCGUUGUCCGGAAUUAUUGGGCGUAAAGGGCUCGCAGGCGGUUUCUUAAGUCUGAUGUGAAAGCCCCCGGCUCAACCGGGGAGGGCUGGGAAAAAAAUGGGGAAUAUCCUUUACCGGACGAUAA
rnacentral:rRNA from 1 species